UCCUAAUUGGUGUAGUGGUUAACAUUGGUGCUUUUCACGAAACUUUGGUGUAUCUUGACUACGCACUAGCCAGGGGUUCGAUUCCCCUAUUGGGAA